CCGGUGAACCGUUUUUUUCAACCGGUUUAUUGAAUCGAACUGUCCGAAAGAUCCGGUUCGCGGAAAAGAACCGAACUUCCCAUCACUAACUGCUUCCGCCUAAAUUCUGAAGUGUUUAUCGAUGGAUACUUUUCUAUCCCAGGAGGCCACGGGAGAGGAUACGUCAUAAUCGAACACGGAGUAGAAAAGCGGCAUGGAUGCUUAAUGGACAGAUGAUCACAUGUGUGUUUAUCCAGUGGAGAGAGGCUGAUGAAGGAAUGAUGCCAUCGAAGGCUUUGAAGCUUUUGUGGUGGAGCAGGACCUGCAAGGCAAGAUGAUGGCGGCAUUUGUGGGAAAAACAGGGAAAAAGAAACGAGCAGGACAAACUUGACCAAAAUCACCUUUUGUGUUCAGAAAAAUAAAUAAAUAAAUAAAAAAUACACACAGGAUUGAACAGCAUGAAGG